rnacentral:rRNA from 1 species
UACGGGGGGGGCAAGCGUUGUUCGGAAUUACUGGGCGUAAAGGGCUCGUAGGCGGCCAACUAAGUCAGACGUGAAAUCCCUCGGCUUAACCGGGGAACUGCGUCUGAUACUGGAUGGCUUGAGUUUGGGAGAGGGAUGCGGAAUUCCAGGUGUAGCGGUGAAAUGCGUAGAUAUCUGGAGGAACACCGGUGGCGAAGGCGGCAUCCUGGACCAACAUUGACGCUGAGGCGCGAAAGCGUGGGGAGCAAACAGG